rnacentral:rRNA from 1 species
UGGGGAAUUUUGGACAAUGGGCGCAAGCCUGAUCCAGCCAUGCCGCGUGAGUGAAGAAGGCCUUCGGGUUGUAAAGCUCUUUCGGACGGGAAGAAAUGGCGGGCUCUAACAUAGCCUGUCGAUGACGGUACCGUAAGAAGAAGCACCGGCUAACUACGUGCCAGCAGCCGCGGUAAUACGUAGGGUGCAAGCGUUGUCCGGAUUUACUGGGUGUAAAGGGCGCGCAGGCGGAAUGGAAAGUCAGUGGUGAAAUCCUACAGCUUAACUGUAGAACUGCCUUUGAUACUUUCAUUCUUGAGUUCGGGAGAGAGAGACGGAAUUCCAGGUGUAGUGGUGAAAUACGUAGAUAUCUGGAAGAACACCAGUUGCGAAGGCGGUCUCUUGGUCCGAUACUGACGCUGAGGCGCGAAAGCGUGGGGAGCAAAC